rnacentral:lncRNA from 1 species
AAAAUGAAUUGUCAUUGAUAUGGUUAUAUUUUAAAUGAACUGUUUAAAAAAACUUGAUAGAAUUUUCUAUCCCAGAAAUUGAUUACCUUAGCUGUAUUCGGUAAAACCUUUCUUGCUUUUUUAGACGAUACAUGCAUCUCCCGUUCAGAAUGUUAAUCCUGUUAUAUAUGAUGAGUUUGUUGAAAUCCUCUUUUACUACCCUUAUUGAAACAUGCUAUUGAUCAUUGUAAUGAAUAAAGCAAGGAUCAUGUGCACAUGGUGCAGUUAGACUAUGAAAAUGUCUACAAAAUGAGCAUAACUAUUACCUAAAUUGUGUCACUCAAAAUCUAUCUACUAUGUUGAUAACAACAUACCAAUGUUUUAAAAUUGCAGUCCAAAUUUCUAGCCGUUUAUCUAUGUAAACACCCUUAAAGGAUCAUACCUAUUAUAUAAAU